CUGUCUCAGAACAAAAACAGCCGAAAUAUGUCUGCGGGGAUACUUUCUGCAAUUGUUAUCUCUGCCGCACUGCUCUUAGUGAUCCUGACAGCUGCAGUUUACCUUUCCUUCAUCAAAAGACAUAAUACGGGCCGCAGACAUCAAGUUCUCAUAGAUACAUCAAGUCGUGUUGGAAGUGUGACAAGACCGUCUUAUAUCAUCAAGGACCCGGAAGUGGUGUAUGCUGAUGUGAGGACUAAAAAACCCAAAAAGACCACAUCUUCGCUAAAUAAAAAUCCCCAAACUGCUGCAACGGCCGAAGAAGUCACGUAUGCAGAGGUCAAGGUUUAUCAUCAGAGUCCCAACUUAGAAACAGUGUUUAGUCUUUAAAUGUUCUGUAAAACAGAUUUAUUGUAAAAGUUCUAGUUUCAUGAAAAUAUCAUGUCUAUCUGAUUUUAGUCAUCUGCACCUCUCUAAGUUGUUCUGCACGGGCAUUUUGCACCUCAUCAUCCAGCUAAAUGAUAAUAUCAGCAUGUCGCAUGCAUGUAGCUUGUGGUUGCUGCUUGCAAAAAUGCUAUCUUGUUUUUUCAGUUGUUUUAGUGUAGGUACGUUACAAAAUUAACAUUUAACUUUGAAGCUACCCUUUAAACCCAUAAUGAAUUUUAUGUUUAUGAGAGAUUGAGCAUCAGCUUUUUUGUUGAUUAGCGGUGGACAAAAUUGUAAUUCAGUUCAUCUGUUUGUUAGUUAGUGUAUAUAUUUUUUUUUUUUUUUUUUUUUUUUACUGUACCCCAAAAAAGGUGUUCAUAUCCCUUGAGCUUUUCAUGUUUUUGCACAUGACCAAUGCCAACUUCAAAUAUUUUGUUGGGAUUUUAUGUGCUAGAGCAAAACAAAUUGACAUAAUUUUGAAAGGGAAAAAAAAGAGAAGUAUAACAUUUAACAAAAAAAAAAAAGAAAAACCUGUCUGAAACUCUAUAGUUGCCGCCCUUAAAUCUUACACCCGAGGUUAAAAUAAUGUAAAAUCAAUUUUCUGCAGAAGUUUUCUUAUCAGUAAAUUUCUGGUUUAUUUAAUUUAAAAUAUUCUGUUAAGGUCUAAGCACUUGUAUACAUGACUAUAUUUUUGGUGAAAAUGGAAACUUUUCUAAAUUUCGUGGACACCACAAACUGCAUUUGAUUUUUCUGAAAACGACGCAAUCUAAAAACAGGCUCCAGAGUGUAACAUUUUAAAAAAGCGAUCCUUUUUUCUGAUGUCGUGCAAACAGGAACAUCUGAAUAUGCCUGUAUGGGGAAGCCCUGGCACAUAUGCAGUAUGACUCAGUGUUGGCACAUUUUUAAGCAGGGAGUGUUUGUACACCUGUUGAGUUACAAAGAAUAUAUCGCCCAGUAGUGGGGUGACAGGUAGAUUGCAGUUUUAAACGUCGUGACUGGUGUGUGCACAGAAAUCAUAAUUAAAGCAUUGUCAUGUAGUUGUGUUGAAAGAAACAGAAAAAUAAUCCUGUUUUUAAUGUGUCAUUGUCGUGGGCACAGGGCCUGAGAGAGCCACGGCUCAGUUUGUAGCGUGUUGAAAGGGCAACUAUUAGCCCUCUAAUCUGGCUUUCAUCCAGCAAUGGUACCAAGAUGCUACCUCUCAUUUGCAGUUUAUUCAAUUUUUUUUAUUCAGUUUUUUGCUAUUUCUAUAGCACCAUUUCACAACAUGUGGUUUCAAUGCACUUGAAAAAGAAACCCAGCAGAUUGUAUUGAGUCAUGGGUUUACAGCAUUCCCUCCUCCUGGAUGAGCAUGUUGUGACAGUGGACAGUUUGCAGCAAUCCCUCAUACUGAGCUUGUAUGUAGCACAAGUGGAGAGCAAAACUUGCCUUUAACAGGAAGCUGGAAACAUCACAAAAACUUAAUUUUGUAAUAAUUGCUGCACAAUUUAAUAAGAUCCAUGAACAGCUUAUGAAAUAUUUUCUGCCGCAUCAUGUAAUAGCAUAGUUAAAUUUUGCAAUGGCUAUAACAACAAUGCUAUGAUGUGCCACAUUAUGAAAUAAACAAUCACAAAAUAGUCUUUCUGGUCACCCUGAUCAAUAAACAUUUAAUAACUUAUGUUAUGGACCCUAAACAUUUGAAUAUUUGAAACCAUGUUCAGUAAAUGCUAAACAUUUGGUCCUUUAGGGCCUGAUCUUCAAAAGGUUUACAUAUAUAAAAUCACAUGCUAAGUUGAGUCCAAGCAAAGCUCAUCUACAAACCAGGUGCAACCAGGGCAUCAGAACAUGCAAAAUAACAUAAAUUUCCAUUUACAGGUUAUAGUGACAUUCUAUUACAUGUUGAAGUCUGAUUUUUUUUUUUUUUACAAUAGGCCUGUUACAUAAUGCUGCAUUAGAUUAUCUCUUUUUUAUUAAAAAUGUUUGAUCUUACCUUUAUUUGUGUAUAAAUUCUGUGUGCCUAUCAUUUUCCAUGAAUAUGUCUGUCACUAGGUUGUGUCCUUGUUCACCUUAAUUUCUUUAAAUGUCUUGCUACUUCAGUUAAAAUCACCAAGUAGCAAAGUUGCCCCACUGAUUGAUGGGUGGGGCAGACACCUUUCUAGUUGGGCAGGUGGCAGUAUGCGUCUUUGUAACUCCUGCUGCAUGUCUGCUGUUUGUAUUGCUGUGUUUUUGGGAUCUGCUUAUCUGGGAUCCCGUGUUGUUUUUCAACCAAUUUCUUUGGUCUUCAAGUGCUACACCUGCUGUUUGUUUCUGGAGCGCUGUGUCUCCGCUGGUGUUAUCAGCUGCAGUUGGAGUCCUUUGCACGGCUUUUGCUAGUCUCUGACCAGCCUUUUUGUUCUACCUCUGUUUUUGAAAAGGAGCUCUGUUUAUACGUUUCUUAUUUUAUGAACGCAUGCCUGAUGAGUACAGCAAUAUAUAAAUGGCUUGUACUUUUAUAGUGCUUUAUCAAGUCCAACAACCCCAAAGCGCUUCACACGACAAUCAGUCUAUUCUGUCAAUUCAGCCCCUGACAGCGGUAAGCCACAUUGUAGCCACAGCUGCCCUGUGGCACACUGACAGAAGUGAGGCUGCAAAGUACCACAUGCUUGUGCUA